AGAGUUUGAUCCUGGCUCAGAAUCAACGCUGGCGGCGCGCUUAACACAUGCAAGUCGCACGAGAAAGGGAGCAAUCCUGAGUAAAGUGGCGUACGGGUGAGUAACACGUGGGAAUCUACCUCUUGGCGGGGAAUAACCCUGGGAAACCGGGGCUAAUACCGCAUAAGCUCGUGAGAGGAAAGCAGCAAUGCACCGAGAGAGGAGCCCGCGGCCGAUUAGCUAGUUGGUGGGGUAAUGGCUCACCAAGGCGAAGAUCGGUAGCCGGCCUGAGAGGGCACACGGCCACACUGGCACUGAAACACGGGCCAGACUCCUACGGGAGGCAGCAGUGGGGAAUCUUGCACAAUGGGGGAAACCCUGAUGCAGCGACGCCGCGUGAGCGAUGAAGCCCUUCGGGGUGUAAAGCUCUUUCGACAGGAACGAUAAUGACGGUACCUGGAGAAGAAGCUGCGGCUAACUACGUGCCAGCAGCCGCGGUAAUACGUAGGCAGCAAGCGUUGUUCGGAAUUACUGGGCGUAAAGAGUGUGUAGGCGGUUCGCUAAGUUUGGUGUGAAAUCUCCCGGCUUAACUGGGAGGGUGCGCCGAAAACUGGCGGGCUUGAGUAUGGGAGAGGAAAGCGGAAUUCCUGGUGUAGCGGUGAAAUGCGUAGAUAUCAGGAGGAACAUCUGUGGUGUAGACGGCUUUCUGGACCAUCACUGACGCUGAGACACGAAAGCGUGGGUAGCAAACAGGAUUAGAUACCCUGGUAGUCCACGCCCUAAACGAUGCAUACUUGGUGUGAGCCAUUCAUUUGGUUCGU
rnacentral:rRNA from 1 species